rnacentral:rRNA from 1 species
UGGGGAAUCUUGCGCAAUGGGCGAAAGCCUGACGCAGCAACGCCGCGUGCGGGAAGAAGGCUUUCGGGCUGUAAACCGCUUUCAGCAGGAACGAAAAUGACGGUACCUGCAGAAGAAGGAGCGGCCAACUAUGUGCCAGCAGCCGCGGUGAUACAUAGGCUUCAAGCGUUGUCCGGAUUUAUUGGGCGUAAAGAGUUCGUAGGCGGUCGAGUAAGUCGGGUGUGAAAAUUCUGGGCUCAACCCAGAGACGCCACCCGAUACUGCUUAACUUGAGUUCGAUAGGGGAGUGGGGAAUUCCUAGUGUAGCGGUGAAAUGCGCAGAUAUUAGGAGGAACACCGGUGGCGAAGGCGCCACUCUGGAUCGACACUGACGCUGAGGAACGAAAGCAUGGGUAGCAAA